UCCGAAUAAUUUAUACCACUUGAUUGUAUAUCUAAAAAUUUGAUUUUUUUUAUUGAAUAGUCAAAUAAGACAUAACACAGAGACAUCCAAACUUAUAAACUUUCAUUAUUGAUGCAAAACAAUUUCUCCUUUCCCCACACACAGUAGGUAGUCUACUUUCCAUCGUAGGAAUUGAAAUGUCUUUUGGCUUCAUUAUCAAAUUUUCUUCGAGGCUAUAAAAAAAAGCUACUUCAAUAGGUUCCCUCUUUUGAAACCAUCCGACAUCGUAGGCUGCUGAGGACAAGCAUAAAAACCUAUCCUCCUCUUCACUGAAAUCAUAACAAAAGUACUAAGUAAAUCAGAGAGAAUCGUGAGGGUGAGUAGGGUUUCUUGGUUGAAGAAGAAAGGAGAAUAGUUGGGGACUUAGAACACUCUGAAAUUUCAAGAUCUUUGCUGGAAAAGAGAUGAUGUUUCAGGUAAAGUUGAAGAAGUUUAGUGCGAGGAUGCGAUGGGAAAACCUCUAUGGGAUUUUAGAACAUGUAUUUUAAAUUGUGAAAUGUGUGGUUUGUAAUUUUCAAGAGUUUUAAUAUUUAGUUUGUACUUCAAUAAAUACUCUUGAAACUUUGACGAUAUUAUUGUGUAAUAAUAUUAAGUGUUGUGAUUUCAAA
rnacentral:sRNA from 1 species